rnacentral:rRNA from 1 species
UACGUAGGGACCAAGCGUUGUUCGGAUUUACUGGGCGUAAAGGGCGCGUAGGCGGCCAGCGCAAGUCAGUUGUGAAAUCUCCGGGCUUAACUCGGAACGGUCAACUGAUACUGCGCGGCUAGAGUGCAGAAGGGGCAACUGGAAUUCUCGGUGUAGCGGUGAAAUGCGUAGAUAUCGAGAGGAACACCUGCGGCGAAGGCGGGUUGCUGGGCUGACACUGACGCUGAUGCGCGAAAGCCAGGGGAGCAAACGGG